rnacentral:rRNA from 1 species
UAUAUUAUGGUGUGAUCCCCCAGUAGUCAUCAUACUCGUCGUCAAAGAUUUUAACCCACAUGUGUAAGUAUAAAUAAUUCUACUUUGAAACUGCAAAGGGUUCAUUAUAUCAGUUAUAGUUUAUUAAAAAAAAUGUCCUACUUGGAUAACCGUAGUAAUUCUAGGGCUAAUACUUGACUAAAUCCUCAAUUUUGAAAAGGGGAUUUUUUUAAAAUGAAAACCAUAUGCUUUGUCUGUAUAAGGAGAAAAAAAAACCUUUCUAUUCCAUGGUUAAUAUAACGAUAGAUCUUUAAGUUUCUGCCCUAUCACUUUUCAUGGGAGUGGAUUUGGACUCCCAUGGGAGAAACGGGAAACAAAAAAUUUGGGUUCAUUUUCGAGAAGGGAGCCUGAGAAAUGGCUCUACAUCCCAAGAAGGGAGCAGGGGGCGUAAUUACCCCAAUCCUGACAUAGGGAGGAGUGGACAAUAAAUCCCAAUGCGGGACUCUGUUUUUUGCAAUUGUUGUGAAAAACAUGCAACACAUAUAUCUAUACAAUUUUGGGGGGCAACUGGGGUGCCCACACCCGCGGAAAUUCCCUCCCCUAUAGUAUAUAUUAACGGUGUUGCUGUAAAAAAAUCACAUCA